rnacentral:rRNA from 1 species
UACGUAGGGGGCAAGCGUUGUCCGGAUUUAUUGGGCGUAAAGAGCGUGUAGGCGGUCUGUCGCGUCUGCUGUGAAAACCUGGGGCUUAACCCCGGCCUGCAGUGGGUACGGGCAGACUAGAGUGUGGUAGGGGAGACUGGAAUUCCGUGGUGUAGCGGUGAAAUGCGCAGAUAUCAGGAGGAACACCGAUGGCGAAGGCAGGUCUCUGGGCCAUAACUGACGCUGAGAAGCGAAAGCAUGGGGAGCGAACAGG